GGGAGGGUGUGUCUGUGUGUGAAAUCUACAUGCGCACGCUGGGCCAGAUCCUCCGUGGGUGUCAGUCCGGGGAGGGCGUGUCUGUGUGUGAAAUCUACAUGCACACGCUGGGCCAGAUCCUCAGCGGGUGUCAGUCAGGGGAGGGUGUGCUGUUGUGAUCAGCCUCGCUCCAGUGACUCCAGCACAGCUCUAUUUGACACCAGCGGAACGACACUGACUGACACCCGCUGAGAAUCUGGCCCGACAGCUCCCAAUGUGCAGUGAAUGCACUCCAGCCUUGGCAAGUCCCCAUCUCUUCUCCACUCGCCCUGGUUAUUUCUCAGGGGGUCCCUCCUCUCCAUCCCCUCCCUCAUCUCCCCUCUGCUCUCGCUCACCUUCUCAUCUCAGUUCACCAUGGGCAUCGCCUCCCCACUCUGUACCCCCGCUGUCCCCUGCCCGCUCCCUUGCCUGCUCUGCUUUGGGCCCUGCUCUGUCGUUAAUUGCCGUCAGGAGCGAGCCAGUCGAUACGGGUGCCGUUAUUCUGCUGCUGAAAUGGCUCGGGCUAUUAUUAGCCGGGUGCAUGUUAGUAAUUUAAUUCAUGUGGUUUGGGGAGCCUGGCUGCAUUGUUACAGCAGGCAGAAAGGAGCUGGGUGUGUAAUCCCUGAGCCUGAGCAUGCAGUGGGGGGGCUGGGGACACUGCAGGACCAGGGGGCCCAAACUGAGCCGGCUUCGGCGUCUUUAGUCACCACCCCAGGUGGAGUUCUAUGGAUUUCCGCGCUGGAGCCGAGCCAGCCUCGAGCCAUCUCCCCUGCCUGCCUGGCAUGCAGAGAUUUAUACCUAGUGCCCUGGCACAUGGUGACGGUCACUGGGCCAAAUUAACCCUGGAGAAAACUCCACUGGCUUCCACUGCUGGCUUUGUGAGCACUGGUCCUGAUCGGCUAAGAAUAGUGCCUGUCCUACUAGUUCUGUUCCCCCGUUCCCCCCACACAUCCUGCUGUUCGUCUCAUCCAUCUGCCGUGCCUUGUCUUAUAGCAUCCGUCUACGCUGCAGUCAGAGGUGUGAUUGCAGCACAUGCUAUACACCAGCUAGCUGGAGUAACCAUAGCAAGUGAGGCCGCGGCGGCUAUACAAAGCUACUCGGGACCUGGGUGCUCCUACACACAGCGCCAUGAAACCAUGUGUGUCAGAACUGGAAGCAGCCUUCCGAGAGAGCGUGUGCAGGUGAGACCUGCCCCACCUCCCCCAGCGGGCGGACAGGCCGGCUACCUGGGUUCCACUGGACGAGCCGGCUAUCCGCAACUUGAUGAUGGCUGUGAUCUCGUCCUGCUGUUUCCUCAUCUCUUGUUCGUCCACCUGCCGAGGGGAGAGAAGGCCAGAGUGAUCGAACCCUCCGCAGCCUGGCAGCGAAAAGGCCAGAUGGACAGCUUCACGUGGGGCCCAGCUCUGGGAGGAUAUGAGCCUCUCCCAUCAGUUCCUGGCCUCCUGCCCGUCACUGAGCUGUGCUGGUCCGGAGUCACCAACCUGCCCAGCUCCAUGGACAAGGAAAGGCAUUCAAGCACCUCUGCCGAAUCCGUGCUUCUCCCCACCUGCUCCGAUGUCCUCAAAGCUGCCACGGGUUCACGGCUAUUGUUACUCAUGCUAGUUAGAUCAAAGCUAGUUUGGGUAUAGCACCUCUGAUCACUGUGUAGACAUACCCUUAGACUGCAAGCUCUUUGGGGUAGGCACUGUCAUUUACUGUAGUUUUGUACAGCGCCUAGCACACCAUGGCCACUGCUGGCUGGCCUCUAGGCUCUACCAUAAUCUAAAUGUUAAAUCACAACCAUAGAUGUCAGUAAUUUGCCGUUGGUAAUCUAGGGGAUGGUGGACAAGAUUCUGCUCCCAGGUAAGACUGGUGAGACUCCAACAUAAAAUCCACAGGGGCCUGACCCUUAGCUGAUAUAAACCGGUGCAGCUCUGUGGAGUUACAAUGAUUUGCAUCGGCUGAGGUUUUUGGCCCGUUGACUUCAGCGGAGUCGCUCCACUUUUACACCUGUGAAACCGGCACCUUUUAACAAUUCUAGCGAUGGUUAGAGUCACUUGGUGAGCCUGCUUUUCCUCUAUUUUUAAACUGGAUUUUGCUCCUUGGGCCUGAUUCUCAGCCCCAUGAAGGCCCCUUUACCCUGCUAGAGUGAUCACAGAAUUUUAGAAAUGUAGGA
ensembl:lncRNA